rnacentral:lncRNA from 1 species
GAAUAUCAUUGGUUUUUAGCGGUUAAAAACAAUGCCAAAUAAAUUCUUAUAUUAUUAAUAGCAAUUUUCUGCCAUUAAACAUAAAUUUAAUUACUGUAGAUAAAGGGUGACAAAUUUUAAGUGAACUAUAACUUGACAGACUGAGCAAUUUUGCAAGCUCAGUUAAGAGUAGAAUUAUUAUACUCUUAUGCGUAUAGAUUUUUUAUACUUAUAAAUUUUUAAUCGUUGGAUAAAAAAAUACACGAUUAAAAUAAUAGUGGUCUUCCAGAAUUGAAUGGAUGGUUGGUUAAAUUGUAUGAUCUAACAGGAAUAAAUAAUUAAAAAAAUAAAUUUAAUGGAUGAAAAUUUUUUAGUAUAAAAGAAACUAUACUCAUAAAGAGUAUAAUAGCCGGGCUCUUCAAUUAAUACAACUCUCUA